GAAAGAGUUUUGUGCUUUGGAACCAGUUAUCAAUAGCACGGCAUCUGACGCAGAGGAUCAAAAAGCUUUCCUUGAUCGUGCAAAAACUCAUGCAGAUAUGAAGUUCCUUUAUGUUGUCCCGUAUCAGGUCUAUGACAAUCAGAAAAACUACUGGAACCGUUAGGGCUGCAGCUGCUACACCAAUACUCCACAACUCAUGCUCAGAUAAUAAGUUUAUAUAUAUUUGUUCUCAUUUAAAGUUUACAAUCGAUGUGCGUUAGUUGUGUCAAAUUAUGUAGGUAUCCAUAACUAAUGUUUUCUUACGUAGAAGAGAGGGAGGAAACCACCAGGGGAACUUCCAACAAAGCUUAUGGCUGCGUACGUUUCUAGGGAGGCAACACUUUUGAAAAGAUGUCACCGAAUCUUCAAUGUACGUUUCUAGGGAGGCAACACUUUUGAGCUUUAUAAAGUGGCUGAUGUAGUACAGACGACCUUUGGAGCUUCAACAUCGCCAGGAAGUUGUUGGGGAUAAAAGGCCUUAGGUACUUUUAGUGAGUUAAUGGAGGUAUCUUCUAUAAUGUUAGUUGUGAGUCGACGAUACUCGUUACUUUCACCUGUACUCUCACACAAUCAUCAAAACACAGUGUUGGAAGAAAACAUGUGGUAAUAGCGUCUCUACGUUUCCAGAUUUUUCCUUGCUCCUACGGAUCUUAAAAAAUUUCCAUCUUCUUCUGGUUAUAGAUCUGAUCUUUGACACGUUUGGCAAUUCAUGAAUUGAGGGGUAUGCCUAAUAUUCCAUGUGGACCUCACACGUUCUCCUCAGAGGGAGGAAACCACCGAGGGAACUUCCAACAAAGCCUAUGGCUGAGUACUUUUCUAGGGAGGCAACACUUUUGAAAAGGUGGAUGAUGUAGUAGAUACAACCUUUGAAGCUGCAGCGUUACCAGGAAGUUGCCGGGGAAAAAAGCUGCACUCUCACAUCUUCGUCAUAACAUGGUGUUAGAAGAAACCAUGGGAUUUUUCUUAUAGCAAUGCUCGCCGCCGUAUCACAAUCUUCGAAAUUUCUGUUUGAGUGUGCCCUUCAAGAGAACCUAACACGCCCUCGUCCUUCAGGCCUUAACAAGAAAAAUGAAGAUGGGAUAUUUCUUUUGUCUAUCUACGAACUGAAUAUCCUGGAGAUGUUUUACAAACAAGGUCUAUGACAAUCGCAAAAGUUCCAGGAACCAUUAGGAAUGCAGUUGCUACACCAAUAUUCCACGGCUCAUGCAAAAGUGGAGGAAACAGCCGAGGGAACCUCAGACAAGGUCUAUGGCUGCAUACUUCUGUAGAGAGGCAACACAUUUGAAAAGGUAAAAUCUGAUUUUUCCCUCCGUCAUGUGGAAGACGGUCACCGAAGUUAUUUGGUUGAUGUUUAAUUGAAAAAAAAACUACAUCUAUCUUUCAUGCUUAUUGUUUAGACUUUUGAAAACUAUAUUUAGAUUGCACUAAGGUGUCAAUCGUUUGACAUUAUACGAACUAGUGCAGGAGAAUGGAUAAAGAUACAUUGAGAUGUCGAUAAUUUGAAAAUGUAUCAAGAAGUGCUAGAGCUUGUGGACUUACCAUAUGACAUGUUUCAUCGGUCCGUUUCCAAUCCCCUUAACAUUCUUAUCAAUGUGUUUCCGUCAAGAUUUUUUUUUCCAACGUUUUUUCUCUUUCCAUCUUGUGGUUUGAGCAUAUGUUGUUUCUGUUUCAAAAAUACGACAGAUCAUAUACCAUCUGAUGCUAACUAGUACAUGUGACUCUUUUAAACACGUGCUCAUGUGAUUCUAGUAUACCUACAAAAUUAAGUCAUUCAUUCUAAAAAAGGAAAGUAUAGUUGGCGCAAACCAACAAUUCUGGACUUCAGAAGCAUAUGUUUACUGGAAGAUAUACCUACAACACAACAUAGAUAUGGGUUCUUUUGGUAAUUUUCUGAAAGUAUAUGCAUUAAGAGUCAUUGCUUUCAGCUGCUCUCUCACACUAUCAUCAAAACAGGAUGUGAGAAGAAACCAUAAGGUGGUAGCAAAUCUACACUUCCUAAUUGUUCCUUGCUCCUACUAUACACUUUGUUUCAUAGGCUCAAGUUUUCAGAUUUAAUUUGAGCUUUGUAGAGUCAGAGCUUCUGCUUCGGUCCGGGUCUCUGAACGAGGGAAGGUAUGCCUGAUUAUAGAUAAGAAUGGGGUGUUUUUAGGUAUGACUUUGUCGGUCUGCAUCUUUAUCUGUGCAGUCUCUUGUCUUUAAUUUUGCCAAUUAGGUGGAUGAUAUACCAUAGACAACCUUUGAAGCAUCAGUUUAACCAGAAGUUGCAGGGGAGAAAAGGUUUAUGGUUUUGAACCUUUUAUUAAAAUCGUAUGCUCACCUAUUGUGACAUCAUGAAGUGGGUUGCUAGAAACGUGUCAUAAUCGAACUAUUGUAUAUGAAAUAUUCGAUUUAUUUAUAGCAAGUUGAAUCACACGCUCUUAUAAGGUGAGGAUCUGUUCUGCGACAAGUUGGACUUUUCUUUUGGAAAAUCAUAGAUUGGGAUUUGCUGCCCUUAGCAUCUUUCUUCUGGUCAUGUGGCUAACCCUUUCGUGGUUGUCUGUGUAUUUUUUUUCAGUUUUUCUGUGACUCAGAGCUAGGGAUUUUCUUUUAGUAAAACUUGCGGCUCGCCGCCAUAUCACUUUCAUUGAUAUUUCUGUUAAUGAGUACACCCAGUACUCCGAGAGGACCUGACACGCUCUCCUCCUUCAGGAAGUUGCAGGGGAAAGAGGUUUGUGCUUUGGAACCGUUAAUCAAUAUUAAUUAAGACUGAUAGCCAUUGCUUUCUGUUGUGCUCUGAACUAUCAUCAAAACGGGGUGUGAGAAGAAAACAUGAGGUCGACAUUGUGAAGAGGUACACUGUAAGCGUAAAUGAGUGACCGGGUAUGUGGGAUUACAAAUAAGAAAUGGUAUUUUUAUUUAUUUUUAUGUAUGAAGUUUCCAGUUAGGUGCAUGACGUACCACAGACAAGAUAUGAAGCUUCAAUGUUACGGGGAAGGUGAGGUUUGUAGUUUUGAAUGGUUUA